GAGGGAUCCUUUGAGCCGAGGGACCAUCAGAGACUCGCGAUCCUGAACUACCAAACAGUUCAGUCUCCAACCUCUACAUUUGGGAGUACUGAUGGCCUGAGGCGGAGAAGAGCAUCAUCAAGAGGAUCCAGAGAACCAACGGCAUUUAUUUUUGUCCGGUGAGUCGUGAAUCAAAACUAAAUCAUUCUGUCUGUCGUAUAAAUGUGUGCCAGCGCUGACGCCUCACCGUCAUCCGUUGACCUCCAUCUGCCACGAAUCCCUGACACUCCUUUGGGGAUCCCUUUUCGAUAUCAACAGACUGUUUUACACUCACCAUCUUCAUGACCAAGCUACUCUGAUGAUGCUAUGUGUCAAUUUGACAUGAAUGAAGCAUCCAGCUUGAUGUCAGCUUCAAAAACCCAAACAGGCCUGAGGUAUGAAGCCUCUCCUCAGCCUCAAAGGCUCUCCCUGCACAUAGGUGAGGUAGCAGGACCACAGAGACCUAAACUUUUGUAUCGCCCUUGGACCACAGAUGACAGCAGGCAUCUAAACACCUACCUGGCAGUCGUUAUUCUGGAGAAACAUAUGCCGUGCAGCUGCAAACCCUUUGCAGUGAGUUUUGCCCCACCACAGUUGAGCUGCACAGGCUGCUCGCACUGACUUUGUCACCAUCUGACUGGGCUAAAAUCAGUCCUGUCUCCCCAACCAAUAAAGUUCAAGCAGUUGAGACUUAAUGGAAUGCCAACCAAAACGUCAACUAUGGGGAUGAUGUAAACAAUGUUGGCGCAGCGAUCGUCACGGCAUUUCCUGCCAGAGUGGACAUGUUGAAAGUGUGGGAGACUCAUCUCUCCAAUUUUUAUUGGAUUUAUUGCCGGACUGAAACCUAAUGUCAGAGCUGCUGUCCCAUUCUCCUGCGAGGUGCCCAGACAUGCCUCACGUGCUUAUGAACAGUUGCAGAUUAAGAAAACUAUUAAGAGGGAAAAGCAAACCAAUGAUGUGCAUAGAGUCACUAUCACCAUGCUGCAGUCACUCAGUUUGGCCCAUCUAAUAAUCCGGCUGCACGGAAGCAGCCCCAACAAGCCUUCGGAAAUCAGAGGACGAGGUAGAGACAGGGGACAUGGGAGAGGAUGUGGAUACCCCAGACCGAGCGGUGACAAGUGUUACCAUUGUGGACCACCAGGACAUUGGACACGUGAAUGCCCCAACAACCAGCAGGAGCAGCAACCACCAACAUCUGACUGAACUGAGAGGAGGCGGGGUGUCUUCUGUCAACACACAAAGGAGAGGUGACACACACACAUACACACACUGCAGCUACACGCAAUGAUGAGUUGCUUUUGCCUACACGAACAAAAAGACUCCGGACCUACUAUUUCUGUGUUAAAAACCUCCAUGCUUUCUCCCCCUCCUAAACUUAGUGGUCACUUUGUUCAUUCUGUGGGAGCUUCAGGGAUGACAGGUAAAGAACCUUUUACUUCCCCAAUCUCCUGCACUGACGAAGACAGCAUGCACGUUAAACACUCCUUCUUGUUAUCUCCAAAUCGUCCUGUAAAUCUUUUAGGCAGAGGUUUGAUCUAGUGUCUACCCCUGAGGGGCUAAAAGUGGUUCAGAUUGAAGAAAAACAUAUAUUGUGCACAUCAACUACUUCUCCUUCUUGUCCGUAGGCUUUUCAGUGACAUCUCUGCUGCCCUGAGGUUGUUGACACAUUGAAGAGGGAGGAGACACUGAAACUGUCGGCAGAGGCACCCCAAAGAGAGUGAGGUGAAAUAAGCACUCCUCUCCACCUGUAGCGUGCCAAGCUCCAACUAAGUGGCGUACAGGGCAUUUCUCUGUGUCACCCACGAGGGAUGGAAGAGCAGGAGAACGACCUUACCCACAAUCAACCCAAAGCAGCCCACUAAAGAAAGGCUGCAUCAUCACUCCACCAAUCAUGUGUUUUCUACUACCAGUAAUGUUUUCCCUCACACAUGAUGACACACAAAUGUUGCCUUUCCCAUUCAAGAGAUAACCAUGACCCACUCGCUUACAUCACCCUUUGCAACCUCUGGUAAGGGACUGUGAUCCGUGGUGUUGUUCUUUAAAAUCCAGACACACCGAUUCUGAUUCCAAAAUAUCCUGUUCAACUCAGCUGACUCCUGACUGUGACUCCCCUGAUGGCUCCUGUGAUGAGGAGUUUGCUAUGUAAAUAAUCACUUUAUUCUUUCAGUGUGCUACAACAACAAGAAUGUCUAUGUUCUACAAAAACAGCUAAAGGUAUUCAUUUCUGUUGAUCUGGUGAAAUAGUAGAUGAUCAAAAGAGUGGAAUUGUAAUGGGAAAAUAUUAUACUAUGAAUAUCGUAGUGUGAUUCUUAUUUUCUAAUGUUUAUCUCGGUUUAAUUUCACUUCUUUGCUAGUCUUGGGAAAAUUCCUUAAGAAGAUUUGUAGCAGUGUUGAUAGUUACACUCGCUGUGCACCAACAGUAUGACCUUCAACUUCAGUUGAACUGAGAACAUCCUGAUACGGCCUCCCUACCUCCCUAAAACGGAAUGAUCCUUUCAUUAUCACCAAGCUUGACUCCCUCUUUCUCCUCUCUGUGUUUAAAUAUGCAACCCAAACCCUAUUCUUCGUCUGACUGAACUUUCUUGCAAGAAAUAAAAUACCUAAAAGACA